rnacentral:tRNA from 1 species
GCCUGGGUGGCUCAGUCGGUUAAGCGUCUGGCUUCAGCUCAGGUCAUGAUCUCACAGGUUGUGAGUUCGAGCCCUGCUUCGGGCU